rnacentral:rRNA from 1 species
AGGGCGAAAGGUGGAUGCCUAGGCUCUCGGAGGCGAAGAAGGACGUGAUAAGCUGCGAAAAGCUGCGGUAAGGAGCAAAUAUCCUGUGACCCGCAGAUUUCCGAAUGGGGCAACCCAUCAACGCAAGUUGAUAUACCGCCAAGCGGUAAGCAAACGCGGGGAACUGAAACAUCUCAUUACCCGUAGGAAGAGAAAAUAAGAAUGAUUCCGCAAGUAGUGGCGAGCGAACGCGGAAGAGCCCAAACCGGUGCCGUUUCGGCGGGGCCGGGGUAGAAGGACCGACAGAAGGGCAAAGGAAGCAUAGCCGAACAGUAUUGGAAAAUACGAUCAGAGACGGUGAUAAUCCGGUAGGCGAAAUGCAGAGUUUGACAGUCGGUAUCCUGAGUAGUGCAGGACACGAGAAAUCCGGUACGAAUCAGCGGGGACCAUCCCGUAAGGCUAAAUACUCCCGAGAGACCGAUAGCGCACCAGUACUGUGAAGGAAAGGUGAAAAGAACCUCGAACAGAGGAGUGAAAAAGACCCUGAAACCAUUCGCCUACAAGCGGUCGGAGCCACUACGUGUGGUGACGGCGUGCCUUUUGCAUAAUGAACCUACGAGUUACCCAUACCGGCCAGAUUAAGCGAUUCAGUCGCGGAGUCGAAGCGAAAGCGAGUCCUAACAAGGCGGAUAGUCGGUAUGAGUAGACGCGAAACCAAGUGAUCUACCCAUGAGCAGGUUGAAGGUUAGGUAACACUAACUGGAGGACCGCACCGGUAAACGUUGAAAAGUUUUCGGAUGACUUGUGGGUAGGAGUGAAAGGCCAAUCAAACUUGGAGAUAGCUCGUACUCCCCGAAAUGCAUUUAGGUGCAGCCUCGAAGUAAAGUGAUAGAGGUAGAGCGACUGAUAAGAUGCGAGGGCUUCACCGCCUAUCAAGUCUUGACAAACUCCGAAUACUAUCACUUGAUCUUUGGGAGUGAGGGCAUGGGUGCUAAGGUCCAUGUCCGAAAGAGGAACAACUCAGACCACCAGCUAAGGUCCCGAAAUAAGGGCUAAGUUGAAUAAACGAAGUAAAACUGCAAAGACAGCUAGGAUGUUGGCUUGGAAGCAGCCAUUCAUUUAAAGAGUGCGUAACAGCUCACUAGUCGAGGAGUUUUGCAUGGAUAAUAAUCGGGCAUAAGCCCUUUACCGAAGCUGUGGAUGUCGUAAGACAUGGUAGGGGAGCAUUCCGGCGGCGACGAAGGCCGUCCUCGAGGACGACUGGAGCUUUCGGAAAAGCAAAUGUAGGUAUAAGUAACGAUAAAGGGGGCGUGAAACCCCCUCGCCAUAAGACUAAGGAUUCCUGAUCAACGCUAAUCGGAUCAGGGUAAGUCGGGCCCUAAGGCGCAGCCGAACGGCGUAGCCGAUGGAAGAAACGGUAAAGAUUCCGUUACUGGAUAUAGGAGCGAUGUGGAGACGGAGAAGUGACACACCCGCCUGCCGACGGAAGCGCAGGUUAAAGGAAGUAGGUAAACGCCGGGUAGGCAAAUCCGCCCAGCGUGCCGAAGCUGACAGUAUCGAGAGCCCCCGGGCAAUCGAAUAGCGGUGGUAAUCAGGCUCCCAAGAAAAUCCGCUAAGCAUAUUCUAUAUUCACCCGUACCCCAAACGGACACACGUAGUCGGGUAGAAUAUACCAAGGCGCUCGAAAGACUCACGGUUAAGGAACUAGGCAAAUUGACCCUGUAACCUCGGGAAAAAGGGUCCCCAGUAAGAUGGGGCGCAGAGAAUAGGUCCAGGCAACUGUUUAACAAAAACACAGGGCUGUGCGAAAUUGAAAGAUGAAGUAUACAGCCUGACACCUGCCCGGUGCUGGAAGGUUAAGAGGAGAUGUCAUCGCAAGAGAAGCAUUGAAUUGAAGCCCCAGUAAACGGCGGCCGUAACUAUAACGGUCCUAAGGUAGCGAAAUUCCUUGUCGGGUAAGUUCCGACCUGCACGAAUGGUGUAAUGAUCUGGACACUGUCUCAACCGUGAGCUCGGUGAAAUUGUAGUAUCGGUGAAGAUGCCGAUUACCCGCAACGGGACGAAAAGACCCCGUGAACCUUUACUGCAACUUAACAUUGUAAUUGGGUAUCCGAUCUGCUCUUCUACAAACUCAAUGUAGUUUCUGCAGUUUUCCGGAAGGUCUUCGUAUUUCUUAAUUCCACGGAUAUCACUCUUCCAUCCCGGAAGUUUCUUAAGAACCGGUUUUGCCUUCUCUAACAGAUGUGUGGUCGGGAAGUCUGUUGUUACUUCUCCAUCGAUAUCGUAUCCUACACAUACCGGGAUCUCGUCCAGGUAUCCAAGUACAUCUAAUACUGUAAAUGCAACAUCUGUGGUUCCCUGCAUUCUGCAUCCAUACUUAGAAGCUACACAGUCAAACCAUCCCAUUCUUCUCGGACGUCCUGUUGUUGCUCCGAAUUCUCCACCGUCACCACCACGGCGUCUUAAUUCAUCUGCUUCAUCACCGAAGAUCUCGCUUACGAACGCUCCUGCUCCUACUGCGCUGGAGUAUGCUUUACAUACGGUGAUGAUUUUCUUGAUCUCAUAUGGCGGUACACCUGCUCCUACUGCACCGUAUCCUGCCAGUGUGGAGGAAGAAGUUACCAUUGGGUAAAUACCGUGAUCCGGGUCUUUUAAGGAUCCCAGCUGACCCUCUAACAGGAUCUCUUUUCCUUCUUUCAGUGCGUUCCACAGGAACAAAGAUACGUCGCAUACAUAUGGCUCCAGCAUCUUCUUGUAGCUCAUCAGCUCUUCAAAAAUCUCUUCCGGUU